rnacentral:tRNA from 1 species
GGAAGGGUGGCAGAGUGGUUGAAUGCACUGGUCUUGAAAACCAGCAGGGGCCUUGUGUUCCUCGAGAGUUCGAAUCUCUCCCCUUCCG